rnacentral:rRNA from 1 species
UACGUAGGCGGAAAAUUAAGUCAGUGGUGAAAUCCUGCAGCUUAACUGUAGAACUGUCAUUGAUACUGGUUUUCUUGAAUACAAUUGAGGUAGGCGGAAUGUGUAAUGUAGCGGUGAAAUGCUUAGAUAUUACACAGAACACCGAUUGCGAAGGCAGCUUACUAAACUGUUAUUGACGCUGAGGUACGAAAGCGUGGGGAGCGAACAGGAUUAGAUACCCUGGUAGUCC